rnacentral:rRNA from 1 species
CUACGGGAUGCACCAGUGGGGAAUAUUGGACAAUGGGCGAGAGCCUGAUCCAGCAAUACCGCGUGAAUGAUGAAGGCCCUAGGGUUGUAAAGUUCUUUUAAUAGGGAAGAUAAUGACGGUACCUAUAGAAAAAGCCCCGGCUAACUCCGUGCCAGCAGCCGCGGGUAAGACGGAGGGGGCUAGCGUUAUUCGGAAUUACUGGGCGUAAAGGGCGCGUAGGCGGAUUAGUAAGUUGGGAGUGAAAGCCCGGGGCUUAACCUCGGAACUGCUUUCAAAACUGCUAGUCUUGAGUGAAGUAGGGGGUGAUGGAAUUCCUAGUGUAGAGGUGAAAUUCUUAGAUAUUAGGAGGAACACCGGUGGCGAAGGCGGUCACCUGGACUUCAACUGACGCUGAGGCGCGAAAGCGUGGGGAGCAAACAGGAUUAGAUACCCCGGUAGUC